UACGUAGGGUGCGAGCGUUGUCCGGAAUUAUUGGGCGUAAAGAGCUCGUAGGCGGUCUCGAUUGCGUCGGCUGAUCGAAACCCGCAGCUCGAACUGUGGGCUUGCAGCGAUACGGGCGGGUCGUGGGAGUUCGGAUGAGGGGAGACGUGGAAGUUCCGGAUGUAGCGGUGAAAUGACGGCAGAUAUCAGGAGGAACGACCGGUGGCGAAGGCGGGUCUCUGGGCAACAA
rnacentral:rRNA from 1 species